GACGAACGCUGGCGGCAGGCUUAACACAUCCAAGUCGAGCGCCCCGCAAGGGGGGCGGCAGACGGGUGAGUAACGCUUGGGAAUCUACCCAUCACUACGGAACAACUCCGUGAACCUGGUGCUAACACCGUAUACGUCCUUCGGGAGAAAGACUUAUGGUUGAUGGAGGAGGCCGCGUUGGAUUACCUAGUUGGUGGGGUAAUGGCCCACCAGGGUGACAAUCCAUAGCUGGUCUGAGAGGAUGAUCAGGCACACAUGGGACUGAGACACGGCCCAGACUCCUACGGGAGGCAGCAGUGGGGAAUAUUGGACAAUGGGCGCAAGCCUGAUCCAGCCAUGCCGCGUGAGUGAUGAAGGCCCUAGGGUUGUAAAGCUCUUUCACCGGUGAAGAUAAUGACGGUACCGGAAGAAGAAGCCCCGGCUAACUUCGUGCCAGCCGCCGCCGUAA
rnacentral:rRNA from 1 species